rnacentral:tRNA from 1 species
UCGGGAUAGCUCAGUUGGUAGAGCAGAGGACUGAAAAUCC